rnacentral:lncRNA from 1 species
AUACACUCAGAAAUCCAAACCCAACCCUAGAAGCUAACUUCAGAAGUUCCAGCAUAAGUCUCCUUGCAAGUGAUAGAAUUUAAAAAAUGCGAAGACUUGUAGCCAACCUACCAAGACUCAUUGCAUCUCAAAUCAAGAGAAGAGUUUUACAAUCCCAAUUCAAUUUUAUUUACCAACCAUAUGGGUUGGUGGUGGUUGGGAAAUUCUCAUUAAAUUUCUCAUUAAAUGCAUAGAGCUCUAGAAGACAUUAAUCUUGAAGGGAUUUUAAAGGAAAAGCCAGUUGAGGCCAUUUAAUGGCCAUACCCAUUAGCUGAAGAAAGCUCUAUAAAUAUCUCCUCAAAAGAAGAGGAAAGGACCUCCGACUCAACACAAAAAACCUAUCUUUUUAUCCUGUACCUUUCAAAUCCUAGUCUAGGAUUUUAUCUUUCAAGCACUUUAGAUAUCCAAGUUCUUCAUUUUCCUAGUGUAAGCUUACUUUCUUGCAAUUUACUUUCAUGUGUUUUUAAAUUCAAGUUUAAUUCAAGUCUUUA